GUGUUAUUAAAAUUUUGUUAAAUGCUGGAUUUGUGCUGGUAGUUAGUUAACAACUUAUUUUACGUUAAUUCCUUUUUCUUUUUCUUUAUUUUUUUCUCUUUCUUUUUACAUUUCUCUUCCUUUGGAUUUUCCUUUCGAUUGCGUUCAACAAGUGAGUAUCAAAAUAAUUGAGACUCGUAAGUUGUUCGGAGUGUUUUUAGAAGAUUUCUAUAUAAGUUCUGUAAAAAAUUCUUAUGUUUCUG
rnacentral:lncRNA from 1 species